GACGAACGCUGGCGGCGUGCCUAAUACAUGCAAGUAGAACGCUGAAGAGAGGAGCUUGCUCUUCUUGGAUGAGUUGCGAACGGGUGAGUAACGCGUAGGUAACCUGCCUUGUAGCGGGGGAUAACUAUUGGAAACGAUAGCUAAUACCGCAUAACAAUAGGUGACACAUGUCAUUUAUUUGAAAGGGGCAAUUGCUCCACUACAAGAUGGACCUGCGUUGUAUUAGCUAGUAGGUGAGGUAACGGCUCACCUAGGCGACGAUACAUAGCCGACCUGAGAGGGUGAUCGGCCACACUGGGACUGAGACACGGCCCAGACUCCUACGGGAGGCAGCAGUAGGGAAUCUUCGGCAAUGGGGGCAACCCUGACCGAGCAACGCCGCGUGAGUGAAGAAGGUUUUCGGAUCGUAAAGCUCUGUUGUAAGUCAAGAACGAGUGUGAGAGUGGAAAGUUCACACUGUGACGGUAGCUUACCAGAAAGGGACGGCUAACUACGUGCCAGCAGCCGCGGUAAUACGUAGGUCCCGAGCGUUGUCCGGAUUUAUUGGGCGUAAAGCGAGCGCAGGCGGUUUGAUAAGUCUGAAGUUAAAGGCUGUGGCUCAACCAUAGUUCGCUUUGGAAACUGUCAAACUUGAGUGCAGAAGGGGAGAGUGGAAUUCCAUGUGUAGCGGUGAAAUGCGUAGAUAUAUGGAGGAACACCGGUGGCGAAAGCGGCUCUCUGGUCUGUAACUGACGCUGAGGCUCGAAAGCGUGGGGAGCGAACAGGAUUAGAUACCCUGGUAGUCCACGCCGUAAACGAUGAGUGCUAGGUGUUGGAUCCUUUCCGGGAUUCAGUGCCGCAGCUAACGCAUUAAGCACUCCGCCUGGGGAGUACGACCGCAAGGUUGAAACUCAAAGGAAUUGACGGGGGCCCGCACAAGCGGUGGAGCAUGUGGUUUAAUUCGAAGCAACGCGAAGAACCUUACCAGGUCUUGACAUCCCGAUGCUAUUUCUAGAGAUAGAAAGUUACUUCGGUACAUCGGUGACAGGUGGUGCAUGGUUGUCGUCAGCUCGUGUCGUGAGAUGUUGGGUUAAGUCCCGCAACGAGCGCAACCCCUAUUGUUAGUUGCCAUCAUUCAGUUGGGCACUCUAGCGAGACUGCCGGUAAUAAACCGGAGGAAGGUGGGGAUGACGUCAAAUCAUCAUGCCCCUUAUGACCUGGGCUACACACGUGCUACAAUGGUUGGUACAACGAGUUGCGAGUCGGUGACGGCAAGCUAAUCUCUUAAAGCCAAUCUCAGUUCGGAUUGUAGGCUGCAACUCGCCUACAUGAAGUCGGAAUCGCUAGUAAUCGCGGAUCAGCACGCCGCGGUGAAUACGUUCCCGGGCCUUGUACACACCGCCCGUCACACCACGAGAGUUUGUAACACCCGAAGUCGGUGAGGUAACCUUUUGGAGCCAGCCGCCUAAGGUGG
rnacentral:rRNA from 1 species